rnacentral:rRNA from 1 species
GAUGAACGCUGGCGGCGUGCCUAAUACAUGCAAGUCGAGCGAACGGACGAGAAGCUUGCUUCUCUGAUGUUAGCGGCGGACGGGGGAGUAACACGUGGAUAACCUACCUAUAAGACUGGGAUAACUUCGGGAAACCGGAGCUAAUACCGGAUAAUAUUUUGAACCGCAUGGUUCAAAAGUGAAAGACGGUCUUGCUGUCACUUAUAGAUGGAUCCGCGCUGCAUUAGCUAGUUGGUAAGGUAACGGCUUACCAAGGCAACGAUGCAUAGCCGACCUGAAAGGGUGAUCGGCCACACUGGAACUGAGACACGGUCAAGACUCCUACGGGAGGCAGCAGUAGGGAAUCUUACGCAAUGGGCGAAAGCCUGACGGAGCAACGCCGCGUGAGUGAUGAAGGUCUUCGGAUCGUAAAACUCUGUUAUUAGGGAAGAACAUAUGUGUAAGUAACUGUGCACAUCUUGACGGUACCUAAUCAGAAAGCCACGGCUAACUACGUG